rnacentral:rRNA from 1 species
AUUGAACGCUGGCGGCAGGCCUAACACAUGCAAGUCGAACGAGUGGCGGAAGGGUGAGUAAUGUCUGGGAAACUGCCUGAUGGAGGGGGAUAACUACUGGAAACGGUAGCUAAUACCGCAUACCAUCGGAUGUGCCCAGAUGGGAUUAGCUAGUAGGUGGGGUAAAGGCUCACCUAGGCGACGAUCCCUAGCUGGUCUGAGAGGAUGACCAGCCACACUGGAACUGAGACCCGGUCCCGACGCCUACGGAAGGCAGCAGUGGGGAUUAUUGCACACUGUGCGCAAGCCUGAUGCAGCCCUGCCGCGUGUAUGCAGAAGGCCUUCGGGUUGUAAAGUACUUUCAGCGGGGAGGCGUUACCCGCAGAAGAAGCACCUGCUAACUCCGUGCCAGCAGCCGCGGUAAUAC